AAGUCGUAACAAGGUUUCCGUAGGUGAACCUGCGGAAGGAUCAUUACCACAACAAUCGGGCGUUGCAAAAAUCCUCGCUUGCGGGGUCACGCCAUCGAUCACCCUUUGCCUACUAUACCGCUCGUUAUUUCCUCGGCAGGCUUGCCUGCCGCCAGGAAUCAUUCAAACCCUUGUAUACAAGUAUCAAAACCUCUGAUAACAACCUAAUUAUUUACAA
rnacentral:misc_RNA from 1 species